CCUCUCUCAGCUCCGCUGGAUCAUGCAGGCCCAAUGUGUGGUGUGGUUGGCUCAUUUUAAGGGAGAGGAAGGCCCUCCUAAUGCACGACAGACCUGCCCUAAAGUGGCCUCUCCGUUCCUAGGAGUGCAACAGCA